rnacentral:rRNA from 1 species
UACGUAGGGUGCGAGCGUUGUCCGGAAUUAUUGGGCGUAAAGGGCGCGUAGGCGGCCCGGUAAGUCAAAGGUGAAAUCCCUCGGCUCAACUGAGGAACUGCCUUUGAAACUGUCGGGCUUGAGGCCGGGAGGGGGUAGCGGAAUUCCCAGUGUAGCGGUGAAAUGCGUAGAUAUCGGGAGGAACACCGGUGGCGAAGGCGGUUCUCUGGGCCUUACCUGACGCUGAGGAGCGAAAGCGUGGGGAGCGAACAGG